rnacentral:rRNA from 1 species
CGUUUUCGGGCGCGCUCUUUCUUCCUUUGUUUUUUUCUUUGCUCCGGCGUGCUCUUGCUCUUUUUGAACGCCACCCUUUUUUCCAUUAGGGUAGGGAAAGAGAGGGUUGGUGGGCUGCUGCCGGCUGAGCGUGUCUAGCCGACCCGCUCGCCGCCGGACUGCGGGUCCGCUGCCGGCUGAGCGUGUCUAGCCGACCCGCUCGCCGCCGGACUGCGGAUCCGCUGCUGCCUGAGCGUGUCUAGCCGGGGGGACGUCGUCGCCGGGCUGCGUUGCUCUAGGGGACGCCGCCGGGCUGCGCCGCUCUAGGGGACGUCGCCGGAGGAGGAGCAACCUACGCGGUAACGACCGAGCACGCUACGCCCCUCCACUACAUGAGUAGCAGUCGUCGCAGUUGCGGCCGAGGAGGCUCCGUCGCUCCGCCGCGACACCAGCUGGGAUCGCGCCGCAUGAGAGAGAACCACACCGCCGGACCUACUAGAGUAGGGGAGGGUCGACUAGAGGACUUGCACGUCACCCCGCUCCACCUACAAGAGUCGGGGCGGGCCGACCUGGUCUAGCUGCUCAAAACGUCCCUCUCCUGAUAUCUGCCGAUCUGUGAGGUCGGAUGAUGAUAGACGUUAAGCUGUUCUUUGUACUUCACGUCAAAUUGGUUUAGUAUUCUCUCUUCCAACGUCUAAUCCGAACACAGUGACCUUCUCUGCUUUGACCUUACACGUUCAAGGUUUAUCUAUAACGAAUACAUCAAAAACAACUAACAUCUGACAUGAAGUUCAAUAAACUUAACCACGACAACAUUCUAGACUGGAACACAGUUACUUUAGUUAUAUGUUCCAAAGUCAACACC